UAUACUAGUAUCCCUACACUUAGUAUAUAUAUAUAAGUGUGUGUGUGAGGGUACGUGUGUGUGUGUGUGUGAGUGCACAUGUGUGAGUAUGUGUAAUGCCAUGUGGCAUCACCUCCCCCCUCUUUUAUGCAUGCAGGGAAGAGAGAGAGAGGAGUUUAUCUCCUCUCUUCUCUCCUUUUCUCUUUCGUUCGGCCGUACCAAGGAAGCACGCGAGGGACGCCGCCGCGGAGCCGAUUUCGCCGUCGACGUCGCACCGCAGAGCCGUUCGAACCUACGGUUGCUGCCGUUGCAUCGUGAGGAGGCCGGGCGAGCGUGGAUCUUCGCCGUUCUUGACGUCGCGCCAGUGCUAGUCGCCGUCGAGAUUUCCAGCGUCGACCGUUGGCGUUUCGGCUCGUACUCGACGUAGGAGCGUCGGAUUUCGACGAGGCUUGAUUCGCUGGAUUCAGGACUUCGAGAGGAAUCCACGAAGCCCUUACUUGCCAGAUUUCGUUGAGAGCGUGGUGUUAGCUCGACUCCCGGAUUUGGAGGGUGUAGAUCGACCAGCAGGUGGUGCUGCAGCUGUGAGGGUGUUUUGCUGCCAGAAUUAGCGACUAAGGUGGGUUUACAUCGGUUUAUUCCUAAGUAUAGUAAUAGUCGACAUGUAUGAUUUUCUGUUCGGUAAAUCAUGUUGUAGUUCGUUUUUCAUAAUGAUAUCCUGGAUAAAUGCUGCAUAUAUAACAUGAUUAUUACCUUUUAAAUAUACAUGUUGGACUGGGUUUAAACUUAGGAGAAAACGCGAUUGGAAUCGACAUAUGUAUUAAACUGCCUGAUUUAGCUCUAGGAGCCGUUAUAGAAUUGUACUGUCGCAGCAUACUGUAGACGAGUACUCCAGAUAGUUUAGAAUACAUU